GUAGCGUGGACUCCCAGCGCCCUUGGCGAAACGGUUAUUGGGCGCCCCUUACUUUCAUGCAUGUUCAAAACAAAAAGCAUGAUAAGAGCUAGGAUAUUUCUGAAAUCAAUUAGCCUGGGUCCUUGCUCAUUGCUCGAUCCUGGGAAAUGAGAAAGCGGACUCUUUGGAUAAGGUAGGCGAUAUGGAAGUUCGUUAGGAAACCUUGAUCAGCUGGCAGCAGGAAUGGGAAGUUGGGUAGAUGGCUGUAUUUAAUCUGAUCUAAAGGAACAUCUCCGGGUCCGAAGAAAACAACCAAAGGAAAAGGAAAAGAAGUGAAUGGCAACUAUGUGAACAUCAGCAUCGUUGUUACCACUUAAGCACCUUGAAUUCCCUUCAUUUUCUACUAUUUUAUAGUAUUCCAUAACCAAAUUGCGAGUCUUUCUGUUUCGCAAAACUAACAUUAGUGCAUAAGAAUCAUGAAAAUUUGUGAUUGAAACUUGACACCGCAAUGCUUAACGGCAAAUGAGCCUUCCAAAUAAACGAAAGUUUUUUUUAAUAUUUUUUUUCGC